CUACAUAACAUAUUACCACAGACUUAGCCACUUAAAACAACCCUCCUUUAUGAGCUCACAGGGAUGUGGUCCACAGGCUAGGAGAGGGCUGGGUCCUUAGGGUCUCACAGGGUCAAAAUGGAGGCAGAUGCUGGAUGGCGCGCUUAUCUGGACGUCCUUGAGAAGAAGAAUCAGCUUUCGACCUCCUUCAGGCUGUUGACAGAAUUCAGAUCCUGUGGCUGGUGAGGACGGAGGACCCCUUCCUUGCUGGCUGUCAGGAUGCAGGUUCCCAGGUACUGCUACAAGGCUGAUGGAGAAAGGGAUGGCAACAGGAGCGUCAGACAAAGAAGCUCAUUCUAUAGACCCAGCAGGGCCAGCACUGACCAACAGAUGCACCAUCACCUCGGGAGGCAGGUUCAUUCUCUCUCUAGACAGGCUCGAGAAUGGAGACAGAAAAUGGAGGUAACUUGCCCAAGGCCACUCUGUAGACCAGGCAAUUUGAAAGGAAGAGAGGAUUUAGGCGCCAUACUCAAGGUUACCUGGGUAAGAAAUGAUGGAGCAAGAAUGUCACCCAUGGGACCACACCCCUGAAUCUAUAAAUUGGAGUGUUUCUGCAAAUUCUAAGAGGUUCUUAACAUUAUCCAGAAUGGUGCCCUGGUGGACGAUCAUGCACCUUGCUGGCGAGGCGCUUUCUUCAGGGUCUUCAUCAUUAUAGUGUCUCUGAAAUUACAAAGUAAGGGAAAUAAAGACAAAGGUCUGAUUGGAAGCUGCAAAUACAAUGGGUGUAGCCAAUAUGGUCAUGAGGUGCCGCACAGCCCAAAGAGCCUCACUGUGACAACACCACCAACCAAAUUUGGCUCCUGCAGAAAUCUUUGUGAAUGUUAUUUCAGACUUAAGGGAGUGAUGUGAAAUCUCAGGCUAGAGUGGAUGCUGACUGAUGAGUUAUUUCACCUUGCAACAUCAAAGAAUCAGAAAAUUCCAGAGCAAACUCAUUCUAGAAGACAAGAUUAAUAGAUUGCUGGCCAAGACUCUGCUCUCCUCUCCAUGUUCCCUUUCCUUUUUACUUUAGUUGCUCAGGUAAAAAUAUGUGUUUAGAUGAAAGAAAUAAGCAUUUCUUAAAAGUGGUGCUUUGAACAGUGAAUGAUCAAUGAUCUUACCUG
rnacentral:lncRNA from 1 species